CAGGGCAGAGCACGGGCGGCGGCGCCCCCUGGCGGCCGGAGGCGGAGGCGCCAACCCCGGAGCCCCACCCAGUCGAGGCCAGCCUUUCCGCGAGCCCGCCCCCACACGUUCAGGCCGCGGCUGCCCCCGGGAGAAGGUCCAGGCGCCUCGAUGGCACUCAGGGCCCGCCCCACAAGCAUCACCAGCCUUGCCAUCUGCAGUUCCCUUCCCCAGCAACGCGCGGGCCCUUCCCACCGCCUCAUGGAGCCUUCCAUCUUCAGAGUCAAUGAUCUGCAGCCCUCCAGGCCCAGCCGGCAACCAUCACAUGCCAGGACUGCAUACGGCCCACCUGGCUGUGUGGCCUUGGCAACGCACACUCUCCGGGCCUUGGUACCUUUCUCCUUCCGCGCUAGAGACGCGCCGGCCACCCCUCCUGCUCCAGGUGUGGAAGAGCACCUUACAACCGCUCACUUAGAAGCCUGCCCAGCUGCCCGAGACCCAAGGCUGCAGAGUGUUGGAAGGGCGGGGACACACGGGCCCCACAUGUAUGCUGCCUAGUCCAGGUGGGAGAAAUGAAGCCCAGAACAUCGGGCUCCAGGACGGCCCGGAAAGCUGAGUCAGGGCCCUGACCCAGGUUGAGGACUGAGGUUAGGACCACCAUCACCUUGGCACACCUUAGCCCGGGCCUCUGCCACUGGGAGAGAAUACCCAUCAGUUCUCGGUAUUUUUUUUCUUUCUACAUUUUAUUAUUUCAAACCAGGUGAACAAUUCCAUAAAACAUGUGAAAAAAGCAAGGAAGUGUUCAACGCUGAAGGCCCCGGGCCUGGGACAAGGGCAUGAGGGGCGUGGCCCCCCAGCAGGCAGCGGCGGUUCCUAGGUUAGCGCUAGGGAGCUACAUUUUAGGUUAAUGGAGCCUGGGCCCAGGGCCGCUGGGGCAUGGCCCUCAGUGACGUUGGCAGUUGUCUGGAACAGCCCUUGGAACCCAAUUCUGUGGAGGGCAGGGCAGGGGUGCCGCUCGCACGGGGGCGGCCAGCAGAGGGACGGGUGUAAACACGCAGACACACUCAAGGCACGGAGUCACUUGGAAGGGGGGCUUGGGGGGAGGGGGGUUGCUGGUCAGGAUCUGACAGUUUUUAAAUAGUUUUUCUCUAAAAAGUUUUCUAGAUUUGCAGUUUUCUUUUUUUUUUUUUUUUUUUCCUUUACUUUCAUUUUUUUAAAAAGCUACGAGAAUGAGCAGGUGGACUGUGGU